GGCCGCCUGGCGAAAUGGCAUCGCGUCUGACUACGACAGGAUGAUCAGGAGAUUGCAGGUUCGACCCCUGCGUUGGUCA